GGUGGCUCAGUGGUAGAGCGCUUGCCUUGCAUGUUUGAGGCCCUGAGUUUGAUUCCUCAGCACCA
rfam:Dipodomys ordii contig_46612, whole genome shotgun sequence.